AUUGAACGCUGGCGGCAGGCCUAACACAUGCAAGUCGAGCGAGCGGCGGACGGGUGAGUAAUGUAUGGGGAACUGCCUGAUAGAGGGGGAUAACUACUGGAAACGGUGGCUAAUACCGCAUACCAUCCGACGAACCCAGAUGGGAUUAGCUAGUAGGUGGGGUAAAGGCUCACCUAGGCGACGAGCUCUAGCUGGUCUGAGAGGAUGACCAGCCACACUGGUACUGAGACACGGACCAGACUCCGACGGGAGGCAGCAGUGGGGAAUAUUGCACAAUGGGCGCAAGCCUGAUGCAGCCAUGCCGCGUGUAUGAAGAAGGCCUUAGGGUUGUAAAGUACUUUCAGCGGGGAGGCGUUACCCGCAGAAGAAGCACCGGCUAACUCCGUGCCAGCAGCCGCGGUAAUAC
rnacentral:rRNA from 1 species